CUUGGUCAUUUAGAGGAAGUAAAAGUCGUAACAAGGUCUCCGUUGGUGAACCAGCGGAGGGAUCAUUACCGAGUUUACAACUCCCAAACCCCCUGUGAACCUAUACCAUUACUGUUGCUUCGGCGGGUCAUUGCCCCGGGGAAAGGACGAGGUGCCGCCUAGGCUCCCCGGCCCGCCCCCGGAAACAGGCGCCUGCCGGGGGAAUCAAACUCUUCUGUAUUUUUUACUUUUACUGUUAUACUGUCUGAGUACAAAACUAUAAAUGAAUCAAAACUUUCAACAACGGAUCUCUUGGUUCUGGCAUCGAUGAAGAACGCAGCGAAAUGCGAUAAGUAAUGUGAAUUGCAGAAUUCAGUGAAUCAUCGAAUCUUUGAACGCACAUUGCGCCCGCCAGUAUUCUGGCGGGCAUGCCUGUUCGAGCGUCAUUACAACCCUCAAGUCCCCUGUGGACUUGGUGUUGGGGACCGGCGACACGCAGCUGUGUUUUUCUCACAGUUGGUUCGCCGCCCCCUAAAUGACUUGGCGGCCCCGUCUUAGGCUACCCCUCUGCGUAGUAGAACACACCUCGCAACAGGAAGCCCGGCGAAUGGCCACUGCCGUAAAACCCCCCAACUUCUUUCAGAGUUGACCUCGAAUCAGGUAGGAAUACCCGCUGAACUUAAGCAUAUCAAUAAGCGGAGGA
rnacentral:rRNA from 2 species